AGAGUUUGAUCAUGGCUCAGGACGAACGCUGGCGGCGUGCUUAACACAUGCAAGUCGAGCGGAAAGGCCCUUUCGGGGUACUCGAGCGGCGAACGGGUGAGUAACACGUGAGUAAUCUGCCCCUAGCUCUGGGAUAGCUCCGGGAAACCGGGAUUAAUACCAGAUACGACCACACUAGACAUCUGGCGUGGUGGAAAGGAUUCCGGCUAGGGAUGAGCUCGCGGCCUAUCAGCUCGUUGGUGGGGUAACGGCCUACCAAGGCGACGACGGGUAGCCGGCCUGAGAGGGCGACCGGCCACACUGGGACUGAGACACGGCCCAGACUCCUACGGGAGGCAGCAGUGGGGAAUAUUGCGCAAUGGGCGAAAGCCUGACGCAGCGACGCCGCGUGGGGGAUGAAGGCCUUCGGGUUGUAAACCCCUUUCAGCAGGGACGAAGCGAAAGUGACGGUACCUGCAGAAGAAGCGCCGGCUAACUACGUGCCAGCAGCCGCGGUAACACGUAGGGCGCAAGCGUUGUCCGGAAUUAUUGGGCGUAAAGAGCUCGUAGGCGGUCUGUUGCGUCCGCUGUGAAAUCUCGGGGCUUAACCCCGAGCCUGCAGUGGAUACGGGCAGACUAGAGGUAGGUAGGGGAGAAUGGAAUUCCCGGUGUAGCGGUGAAAUGCGCAGAUAUCGGGAGGAACACCGGUGGCGAAGGCGGUUCUCUGGGCCUUACCUGACGCUGAGGAGCGAAAGCGUGGGGAGCGAACAGGAUUAGAUACCCUGGUAGUCCACGCCGUAAACGUUGGGCGCUAGGUGUGGGAUCCUUCCACGGAUUCCGUGCC
rnacentral:rRNA from 1 species